AAUUCGCCCUUAGAGUUUGAUCAUGGCUCAGAUUGAACGCUGGCGGCAUGCCUUACACAUGCAAGUCGAACGGUAACGCGGGGCAACCUGGCGACGAGUGGCGAACGGGUGAGUAAUAUAUCGGAACGUGCCCAGUCGUGGGGGAUAACUGCUCGAAAGAGCAGCUAAUACCGCAUACGACCUGAGGGUGAAAGCGGGGGAUCUUCGGACCUCGCGCGAUUGGAGCGGCCGAUAUCAGAUUAGGUAGUUGGUGGGGUAAAGGCCUACCAAGCCGACGAUCUGUAGCUGGUCUGAGAGGACGACCAGCCACACUGGGACUGAGACACGGCCCAGACUCCUACGGGAGGCAGCAGUGGGGAAUUUUGGACAAUGGGGGCAACCCUGAUCCAGCCAUGCCGCGUGCGGGAAGAAGGCCUUCGGGUUGUAAACCGCUUUUGUCAGGGAAGAAAUCCUUUGGGCUAAUAACUCGGAGGGACGACGGU
rnacentral:rRNA from 1 species